rnacentral:lncRNA from 1 species
AAACAAUUCAUGCCUUUUUAUUUAAUUAAAGGACAAUCCCCCAAUCAUCCUACACCACCCCCAUAAGACCAUAAGACUUAAAGGCUCCCAGGAGGCAGAUUAUUAGGUUGUAACAAAACCAGGCACAUUAAUAAAUAAAAGUCUAAAAUUCUUGCUUUGGCUGGGACUUAAACUCUUGAAUAAAAUGCAUGCAAAUAUUUUUUAAAUAUAUGCAGUGCAUGGUGCCUAAUAGAUAUUCAGUUGAUGGCUUUGAAUAAGGGAAAAAUGAAUGAAUACAUAAAUGUAUGAAUAAAUACAGUUUAUUCUCAAUGGCAUGUACUUAUUCUAUUAGAGAAAACAUGAAUACUUAAAUAGGUAAUCCACAAAAGUCCAACCUACACAUUUUAACUGGUAGCCUCAUGCUUCUCCCAGAAGUUCUUACCAGAGAAGCAAACAGGCAGUAAAAAUGACUGGCUCAAGUUUCAUCUCUUCAGCCUGCCUGCGCUUGGUGCCUUGGAACUUUUAACUAACAGCAAAAUUCCCCAAAUGCCCUUGUGACACCAAGGGUAAAAGAAAGAGUCUUACUGCCAAUAAAUAGGAUUCUCAUGCCCUGUUCCGCUAAGCACAUAAGAUGAAAAGUUACACAAUAAAAGCAGCACUGCAGUUUUUAUUCCACUCUAAGCCAUUAUUUCCUCAAAUAGCAUUUGUGGUAACUAUCUUUGAUCGUUGACUAGGGCCACAGGUGGUUGGCCCUAGCUAGUGUAUCAGGAGUGUAAUCUGAGUUGUCUCUAAACACAUCACAGCAAUGACAGAUUAUACCAAUCAGAAGCAACCGUGUAAUACCAAGCUGUAAACUGCAGACAUUCUUUGGGUUUACGCUCUUAAUUUACUUGCCACGAAUGGGCUCCUUGAACUUUGUAGGUCUUUCAUUUUCCAAAGGAAGCACAUCUUCCGGGGCUUGAGUUUAAUUCGAUGCUACUGCUGCCAAAGCCACAUGGGAUGCAAAUGAAACUGGGUUCACCUUUCUCCC